AAACCCGUGGCGAUUUGUGACCGGAUUGCGGGCCACGUUAAACAUUCCGCUAAAGAGGCGAAGC
rnacentral:ncRNA from 1 species